rnacentral:rRNA from 1 species
UACGAAGGGGGCUAGCGUUGUUCGGAAUUACUGGGCGUAAAGCGCGUGUAGGCGGGGCUUUAAGUCAGGGGGGAAAUGCCAAGGCUCAACCUUGGAACUGCCUUUGAUACUGGAGACCUUGAGUCCGGGAGAGGUGAGUGGAAUUGCGAGUGUAGAGGUGAAAUUCGUAGAUAUUCGCAAGAACACCAGUGGCGAAGGCGGCUCACUGGCCCGGAACUGACGCUGAGAUGCGAAAGCGUGGGGAGCAAACAGG